rnacentral:lncRNA from 1 species
UUUGAAAGGUUUAGAAGUAAAACAAAUUGGCAAAGUAUUAAGAUUCUUUGAUUAGAUCAAGGAAUAAAUACUUGUGCAAUAAGUUUCUAGAUCAUCUCAAAGGGUUUUCUCACAAUGGACGCCUCUUGAUACGUAAUAAUUGAUUGAUGUAUCUGAAAGGAAAAAUCGUACCUUGUUGAACAUGGUGCGGUCCAUAAUGAUUUUACUGACAUUCCAGUAUCCUUCUGGGGUAAUGUCCUAGAAAUGGCUGCAUAUCUACGAAAAAGGUAACCUCAAAAUCCGAC